rnacentral:tmRNA from 1 species
AGCGCCAUAUUCAAAAGGCUAGUUUACUAGCUAUGGCGAUAAACGCUGUUUGAAAUAAACGUAACGGACCCGGGGGCAGUACCCGGCGCCUCCACCAAGAGUCUCUGGAAAUGCUAGUUUGUGAGACAAAACAAUGGGGGCGAAACAGGAUCGACGUGCGUAGUAAAGAAAUUGUUUUCGCUCGGUUAGGUACCACCGUUACCGGUCCAACUAAAAUAGUUGCAAAUGACAACUAUGCUCCGGUUGCUGCUGCCGCGUAAGCGGUCGCGUGACCAGUGCGGUUUUUUUAAUCGCAUUUAAAGUCCUUGGAGCUGAGCUCUCCUAGGCGGGGUCCGGGAGGCACCUGGCAAC